rnacentral:rRNA from 1 species
UGGGGAAUAUUGGACAAUGGGCGAAAGCCUGAUCCAGCCAUGCCGCGUGUGUGAAGAAGGUCUUCGGAUUGUAAAGCACUUUAAGUUGGGAGGAAGGGCAGUAAGCGAAUACCUUGCUGUUUUGACGUUACCGACAGAAUAAGCACCGGCUAACUCUGUGCCAGCAGCCGCGGUAAUACAGAGGGUGCAAGCGUUAAUCGGAAUUACUGGGUGUAAAGCGCGCGUAGGUGGUUCGUUAAGUUGGAUGUGAAAGCCCCGGGCUCAACCUGGGAACUGCAUCCAAAACUGGCGAGCUAGAGUAGGGCAGAGGGUGGUGGAAUUUCCUGUGUAGCGGUGAAAUGCGUAGAUAUAGGAAGGAACACCAGUGGCGAAGGCGACCACCUGGGCUCAUACUGACACUGAGGUGCGAAAGCGUGGGGAGCAAACAGG